UACCUGGAUGUUACCCAGGCUGGACCAUCUUACUGCUUCGUUAAACUCAUUUUGUCUCGGACUUUUAAAGUACCUGAGCUUCUCAGAUGCCACGUUGUUAUUGUUCUACUGGACUAACCUUGCUGGCUGCUGCCAGGUGCUUCCUGCCUCACACCGAUCCCGCAGAACCUGUCCACCCUCCAUCGCUCUCAAGCAACCCAACUCCGGCACCAUACUACCUGACGCUGUUGCCCACUUCUUGUUUGGUGCCUUCGCACUGUGCUCUCAUUCCGGUCAGUCCGAAUCUCUCUCCUGGCGGAGAACUCACCCAGCCUACCCCGCCAUGUACCAGAGCACCCAGUAUUCCUGUAUUCAAUAAAACUCAUUACAAACUUU